rnacentral:rRNA from 1 species
UACGGGGGGGCCCAAACGUUAUUCGGAAUUACUGGGCGUAAAGGGCUCGUAGGCGGCCAACUAAGUCAUACGUGAAAUCCCUCGGCUUAACCGGGGAACUGCGUCUGAUACUGGAUGGCUUGAGAUUGGGAGAGGGAUGCGGAAUUCCAGGUGUAGCGGUGAAAUGCGUAGAUAUCUGGAGGAACACCGGUGGCGAAGGCGGCAUCCUGGACCAACACUGACGCUGAGGAGCGAAAGCCAGGGGAGCAAACGGG